rnacentral:rRNA from 1 species
CGCCUACGGGAGGCAGCAGUGGGGAAUAUUGCGCAAUGGGCGAAAGCCUGACGCAGCGACGCCGCGUGAGGGAUGAAGGUCUUCGGAUCGUAAACCUCUGUCAGCAGGGAAGAACGGUCACUGUGCUAAUCAGCAGUGAAUUGACGGUACCUGCAAAGGAAGCACCGGCUAACUACGUGCCAGCAGCCGCGGUAAUACGUAGGGGGCGAGCGUUGUCCGGAAUUACUGGGCGUGAAGAGAGCGUAGGCGGCACUACAAGUCUCAUGUGAAAUACCCGGGCUUAACUUGGGGGUUGCAUGGGAAAC